GCGUAAGCGCGCGCAGGUGGUUUCUUAAGUCUGAUGUGAAAGCCCACGGCUCAACCGUGGAGGGUCAUUGGAAACUGGGAGACUUGAGUGCCGAAGAGGAAAGUGGAAUUCCAUGUGUAGCGGUGAAAUGCGUAGAGAUAUGGAGGAACACCAGUGGCGAAGGCGACUUUCUGGUCUGUAACUGACACUGAGGCGCGAAAGCGUGGGGAGCAAACAGGAUUAGAUACCCUGGUAGUCCACGCCGUAAACGAUGAGUGCUAAGUGUUAGAGGGUUUCCCCCCUUUAUUGCUGAAGUUAACGCAUUAAGCACUCCGCCUGGGGAGUACGGCCGCAAGGCUGAAACUCAAAGGAAUUGACGGGGGCC
rnacentral:rRNA from 1 species